ensembl:lncRNA
GUUACAGUUGCCGUACUUCAUCAACUAGCUAGCACUACAGAAGAGGAGCAAGAAAAUCAGAUAGUGGGUCUGUUCAUGGGGCAUUUCAUGCUGUGAAAGCUGCUGCGAAAACCAACUGAGAGUGAUGAUCAUGGAGAUAAUGGAGACUAGAAAUGAGCUGCAAAGAUGCGGUGGGAAAUGCGGGAUGGACAAUAAUAAAGAGAGACGACUCCUUCAGCUGCUUUUCCUCAGCUUUGGUGUGCUGUGCAUCAUACAAGCCACUCUCAAUCUUGCUUUACGCCUCACAUUCGAGGGGAAUGACUCACCCCACACAACAGAAUUAUGUGGCAACAACCAGUUAAAACCAGUAAAUUUUGACCAAAAUAGGCCACGUUGUUGUAGCGAACUACAAGAAACAAUCAUUGCUUUGACCAGAGACAGAAGCAUGCUUGAAAAGAGAAAUGAAGAGCUCCUUGACAUCAUAAAGAGUCUUGAGGAGGAGAAGAAGAGGCAGAAUGGUUUCAUCUCAUAGUAUAAUUAGAAAAAUGGCGCCAUGCCUGGAAUUAAAUCUGCCUGUGGUUUCUUCUUGUUAAUUUCCUGUCUCUUGUUUAAGUGCUUGCUCAUAUGAAACAGUUGGGUUUCUCUCUAAAAUGGUUUUGGUAUUAUUUCAACAAAGUUUAUUAUUAUUAUUAUUAUUAUUGUUAUUAUUAUUAUUAUUAUUAUUAUUAUUAUUGUUGUUGUUGUUGUAAUUAUUAUCAUUAUUAUUAUUAUUGUUGUUAGUCCAUAAACUGAAUCAAGCUAAUCGUCCCACAUUUUUGUCUUUUGCAGUUAAGGAUUGUGAUUGUAUUACAGUUUGGAUAUCUGUUUGGGUUUUUUAAAAAUUAAUUUUUUUAAUUUUUAUUAAUUAAUUAUUAAUUACUCUUUGAAAUAUUUAUGUCCUUAUUAUUCUGAAAGUGAAUUUCUUGUUAAAUUGAGUUGUUCAUGUCUGUUUUUAUUUCAUGGUUUUCAUUAUAAUUUCUGCUUUACCAGCCAUCAUUUCUACCAAAGUGAGCUGUAUUUUUCUUUUUUCUUUAUGAAGGUUUGUUAAAUUUCAUACUAGUUUCUUGCACAUUUGUCUCCUCAUGGUUUUCGGACUUUUGGAUUUGUUUCUCAUUUGCUUCUUGGACUUUCUUAAGCCCUGAAUUUCUACAUUAACCUCAAAAAAGGGCUUGCUUUUUGCUAGUAAGUCUGCCAUCUGUGUCCUGCUUUUGGGUCCUAACCUUUGCACACCACGCGACCUAACAAACCAAUGUUUUCAUGCAGUUUAGAACACUGAAUAUUUUCACAUUUUUUUCUAAUUUUCCAGCACAUUAGACCUUACAGUGUCUUCCUACACCAGCACUAGAAGUCUCUGAAGUCAAAGAUAUGAUAAAUAGAAUAGAAAAUUUAUAUUUAUAUAAAUGUAUCUUUGUAGUACAGUCAAUUUCAUUGACAAAUUGCAUUUGUACCUAAAGCUUCUCCAAAGCACAUCUCAACACAUUAUUGUGUAGGCUGUGAUUGGUUGUUCGUCACUUUCACAGAGCUGAGCAGUGGAGCAUAAUGUCAG